CUUCAGUGUGAAUUAAAUAAGCUGAAAACAAGCCCAGAGCUCAGUCUUGCUUCUACUAGCAACUACGGUUUCUCGGGGAAGGCUGCUCAGCCCGCCAAGUCCACAGCAGUCACAACCGUGGUGUUCUCGAUUAUAUUUUGCAGAGUGACCUCUCUGCGUUUGCUUUCUGGAGGGUGACCGCUCACCUCCCCUUCCUCCUGGAGCCCUGAUGUCGGAGGCCCUGAGCCAUGGACCGUAUCUGAGGAUGGGUUUAGCAUAUAUGGCCGGAGAAAUUGGCAACAUUUGCUACGAAUAAAACCCCAGCGUUUCCAGCAGCCAUUUUGAAUUAAGUUUCCCACCCGACAAGCCCUAGUCCCCUCCACUGCACAUCCAGGAUCCGGUGGAGGAGAAAGACGCCAGGCGGAGGGGUAGGGAGGGCUGGUUCCAGCGGGUUCCUCCUAGGCGGCCCUGUGAAGCCCAGCCUCGGGGGAUUCGGUGGCAGGCGCUCAGCUAACUUGGGGAAGGGACGUCCAUGGCCGUGGGACCGACUGUCACCGGGCUACACCUACGGAUCUCAACCCCAAGGCCCUCGGAGAGCCCGGAGCCUCCUCCUCAGCUCCUCGCACACUCCCCUCCCUUCGCAGAUGGCCCCCACUGCCCCCCAAAGAAAGUUCCUUCAAAUGUUCCUGCGGUAAAACCUUUCAUUUUGUCUCUGCAAAGUGGCAAAGCAGCCAGUAUUGCGAGGGGCCUAGUUGUCGUCGCUUGUCUCGGCCCAUAAAAAAGAAAAAAAUAAAAAAGAAAAAGAAAGAAAGAAAAGCUUCUUCUAAUGCCCAAGGAGGUGUCUCAAGCCUUUUAUUAGCUCUCACAGCCCAGCUGGGAAUUUAACAAUUUGGGGUCCCUUUCAAAGCUUCCCCAAAUGUUCUGUCCCGGAGCCUAAACCACGCUGCAGACAGAGCGGUGGGAUUUAAACAAGCCCAUCGCAUAAGGGAUCAGAAAAUAAAG